rnacentral:rRNA from 1 species
AUGGCUUACCAAGACUAKGACGCUUAACUGGUUUGAGAGGAUGAUCAGUCACACUGGAACUGAGACACGGUCCAGACUCCUACGGGAGGCAGCAGUGGGGAAUAUUGCACAAUGGACGAAAGUCUGAUGCAGCAACGCCGCGUGGAGGAUGACACAUUUCGGUGCGUAAACUCCUUUUAUAUGAGAAGAUAAUGACGGUAUCAUAUGAAUAAGCACCGGCUAACUCCGUGCCAGCAGCCGCGGUAAUACGGGGGGUGCAAGCGUUACUCGGAAUCACUGGGCGUAAAGAGCAUGUAGGCGGAUUGAUAAGUUUGAAGUGAAAUCCUAUAGCUUAACUAUAGAACUGCUUUGAAAACUGUUAAUCUAGAAUGUGGGAGAGGUAGAUGGAAUUUCUGGUGUAGGGGUAAAAUCCGUAGAGAUCAGAAGGAAUACCGAUUGCGAAGGCGAUCUACUGGAACACUAUUGACGCUGAGAUGCGAAAGCGUGGGGRGCAAACGGGAUUAGAUACCCCGGUAGUCCACSCCCUAAACGAUGCACACUAGUUGUUGUGAGGCUAGACCUUGCAGUAAUGCAGUUAACACAU